AACGAACGCUGGCGGCGUGGAUAAGACAUGGAAGUCGAACGGGGAUAAGUUUGUAGCAAUACACGCUUAUUCUAGUGGCGAACGGGUGCGUAACACGUGAGCAAUCUGCCGGGAAGUGGGGGAUAGCUCGCCGAAAGGCGAAUUAAUACCGCAUGUGGCCAAGGAGGACAUCCUCCUGACGCCAAAGUCGCAAGACGCUUCCUGAUGAGCUCGCGGCCUAUCAGCUAGUUGGUGAGGUAAUGGCUCACCAAGGCUAUGACGGGUUGAGCUGGUCUGAGAGGACGACCAGCCACACUGGAACUGAGACACGGUCCAGACACCUACGGGUGGAAGCAGUCGAGAAUUUUUCACAAUGGGGGAAACCCUGAUGGAGCGACGCCGCGUGGAGGAUGAAGGUCUUCGGAUUGUAAACUCCUGUCAUGCGGGAACAAGAAAGUGAUAGUACCGCAAGAGGAAGAGACGGCUAACUCUGUGCCAGCCGCCGCAGUAA
rnacentral:rRNA from 1 species